GAACGCUAGCGGCAGGCUUAACACAUGCAAGUCGAGGGGCAGCACGGGUAGCAAUACUUGGUGGCGACCGGCGCACGGGUGAGUAACGCGUAUGCAACCUACCUUUUACCGGGGGAUAGCUCAGUGAAAACUGGAUUAAUACCCCAUAACACAGGGAUACCGCAUGGUAAUAUUUGUUAAAGCUCCGGCGGUAGAAGAUGGGCAUGCGUGACAUUAGCUAGUUGGUAGGGUAACGGCCUACCAAGGCGACGAUGUCUAAGGGGUCUGAGAGGAUGAUCCCUCACACUGGUACUGAGACACGGACCAGACUCCUACGGGAGGCAGCAGUGAGGAAUAUUGGUCAAUGGGGGCAACCCUGAACCAGCCAUGCCGCGUGAAGGAAGAAGGUUCUAAGAAUUGUAAACUUCUUUUGUACGGGGGUAAUUUUCCAUACGUGUAUGGGAUUGAAAGUACUGUACGAAUAAGCAUCGGCUAACUCCGUGCCAGCAGCCGCGGUAAUACGGAGGAUGCAAGCGUUAUCCGGAUUUAUUGGGUUUAAAGGGUGCGUAGGCGGACUUAUAAGUCAGCGGUGAAAGACUGUCGCUCAACGAUAGCAUUGCCGUUGAUACUGUAGGCCUUGAGUAUAUUUGAGGUGGGCGGAAUGUGUAGUGUAGCGGUGAAAUGCUUAGAUAUUACACAGAACACCAAUUGCGAAGGCAGCUCACUAAACUAUAACUGACGCUGAGGCACGAAAGCGUGGGGAUCAAACAGGAUUAGAUACCCUGGUAGUCCACGCUGUAAACGAUGAGCACUAGGUGUAGCGGGUAUUGACCCCUGCUGUGCCGCAGCUAACGCAUUAAGUGCUCCGCCUGGGGAUUACGGUCGCAAGACUAAAAC
rnacentral:rRNA from 1 species